CACCGCGGUUAUACGAUGAGCCCAAGCUGACAGUCAUCGGCGUAAAGGGUGGUUAAGAACACAUAAAAAAUAAAGCCGAACAUCUUCAUGGCUGUUAUACGCAUCCGAAGAUAUGAAGCCCGCCUACGAAAGUGACUUUAUAAUUUCUGAACCCACGAAAGCUGGGAAA
rnacentral:rRNA from 1 species